UGCCAGCAGCCGCGGUAAUACGGAGGGUGCGAACGUUAAUCGGAAUUACUGGGCGUAAGGCGCGCGUAGGCGGUUUGUUAAGUGGGAUGUGAAAGCCCCGGGCUCAACCUGGGAACUGCAUUCCAAACUGGCAAGCUAGAGUGUGGUAGAGGAAGGUAGAAUUUCCUGUGUAGCGGUGAAAUGCGUAGAUAUAGGAAGGAAUACCAGUGGCGAAGGCGGCCUUCUGGACCAACACUGACGCUGAGGUGCGAAAGCGUGGGGAGCAAACAGGAUUAGAUA
rnacentral:rRNA from 1 species